CUGGUCCAGGCAGAGUCGGCCCUGACAUGGAGGUGGACAUUCUCCUGCCCUGACUCUGGAAGAAGGGCUCUUCGGUGAUCCGGGCCACCCGGUGGCGAGUCGAGACGCACGAGUGGAGCAGCAUUUGUUCGGAGUCCUGUUGAUAGUAUGCCUUUGUACAGCAUCUCUCGAUUUCCUCUCUCCGAAUUACGAACUAAUGCUGGUACCUCCGAACAUCACAUCACUUCAACUCUCUCAAGGCUCAGAAUGGCCAACGAACCAAUUCCAUGAGGAAUGGGGAUGUACGAGCCCUGUUGUGAGGCUUACAUCGGUUGUUCUAAUUGGCAGAACCCCAAUUAGAGAAUUCAGACCUGUAUCUAACUUUUUUAUGUUGAGAUUAUCCACGAGUGAGGUGCUACCAACAAAGCCCACCCGGAGGCGACAUUUAGUUACGCAAUAAUGUUGGGGAUUACUCGUUUUACCGCUAUGAAUUGAGUAAUCCUUUAGUACAGACUUGGUGAUUCAACCUUUUUAAGCCCAAGAUCUCUGACCUCGACCUGUGUGAAAGGCAAGAUCUACCUAUUGAAGACUUGAGAAAAAACAGACAGCGCAGAAUGUAUUUCCAAUUAAAGGCCUUUUAUUGAGUCUAAUUGUAUGAAUUACAUGUAAUUCUUUGCUCAGCUUUUUUUUAAUGCAAUCAAUCAAAACUAACUGAAAACAAAAAAUAAAGCCAUGUGCCCUAUUUCCCAUUUAUAAUAUUGUAUAACUGUACCACAACUCACACAAAAUCUACAGACUUGCAGUGGACAGAUAUUGAAGUGUAAUUAACUGUUUUGCUUACCCAAUAACCACAUGGAAGUUAACAAAUGUAUGCUUCACAUUUUAGAAAGUGGAACUGUAAUGUGUAUUAAUAAAAUUCUCAGUGCAAUUAAGUAAGCGCCAUGUCCCAUCUAAAGCAGCAUCACCUCACAACGCCAUCUAAAGGCAAAACUCUUGCAGUCAUGUUACUCAAAUUAGUGUGAUGGCUGUGGCUGUGACUGAAUACUGUCAGUGAGUGCCUUGAAGUCUGGCUCAUAGCUACAGACAGCCAGCCUGAGACAGUCAGUGAGGUGUUGGUCUGUAAGGCGGCUCCUGUACUUUGAUUUGAUUAUUUUCAUUUGUGAAAACGCCAUUUCAAAAAGAUGAGUGGAUCCAAAGUAGGCACUCACUAUUAGUGCACAUGCAGUGAGGAGAGGAUACUUCUCUUUGCUGACCAGUCUCCAAAAGCCACUGUCCCUUGAUCUGUUUUUCAGCACUAUGUCAUUUUGCAAAUCAACCAUCUCCAUGUCAACUCCACUUGGCAAAGCAAAUACCUGCUGGAAUCUGUCUGCUACCUGCUCUAUAUCAAUGGGCAGAAAUGGGUUUGAGAGGAAUGCAACAAUAUCUUCCAUGACGUCUAACUCAACAAAACUCCGAUUUAACUCAGUUGUCACUUUGUCCAGCUGGGCACAGUUCUGCUCAGGGUUAAAAAAAUCAUUUUUUUUAAUGGCGUGUGACAUUUUCUCCAAGUUUGGGAAGUGGGUCAGCCUCUUGUUCUUUAGGUGUGUGGUCCAAACACCCAGCUUGGCCUUGAACCUAUUCACUGCACAACUCAUGGGGCAGGUGUCUGUCUUUUCCCUGCAGCUCGUUGUUGAGUGUUGUGGUUGUGUUAAGUUUUGCCGUUAGGUCUGUCAAAAACCCCAGAUCCAGUAGCCACGCAUCAUCGGACAGUUCCUCGUGCUCCUCGUUCCUUGUUGACAAAAAAGUCUUUAUCUCAGGCAGCAAGUCAACAAAUCGCUGCAACACUUUGCCGCGACUCAACCCCCGGACUUCAGCGUG